GGUGAAGCCAAGCUUGCUUGGUGCAUCAGUGGCGAACGGGUGAGUAACACGUGAGCAACCUGCCCUGGACUCUGGGAUAAGCGCUGGAAACGGCGUCUAAUACUGGAUAUGAAACGUGAUCGCAUGGUCGUGUUUGGAAAGAUUUUUCGGUCUGGGAUGGGCUCGCGGCCUAUCAGCUUGUUGGGGAUGUAAUGGCUCACCAAGGCGUCGACGGGUACCCGGCCUGAGAGGGUGACCGGCCACACUGGGACUGAGACACGGCCCAACUCCUACGGGAGGCAUCAGUGUUGAAUAUUGCACAAUGGGCGAAAGCCUGAUGCA
rnacentral:rRNA from 1 species